AUACGUAGGGUGCGAGCGUUGUCCGGAAUUACUGGGCGUAAAGAGCUCGUAGGUGGUUUGUCGCGUCGUCUGUGAAAUUCCGGGGCUUAACUCCGGGCGUGCAGGCGAUACGGGCAUAACUUGAGUACUGUAGGGGAGACUGGAAUUCCUGGUGUAGCGGUGAAAUGCGCAGAUAUCAGGAGGAACACCGGUGGCGGAGGCGGUUCUCUGGGCAGUAACUGACGCUGAGGAGCGAAAGCAUGGGUAGCGAACAGGAUUAGAUACCCUGGUAGUCCAUGCCGUAAACGGUGGGCGCUAGGUGUAGGGGUCUUCCACGACUUCUGUGCCGUAGCUAACGCAUUAAGCGCCCCGCCUGGGGAGUACGGCCGCAAGGCUAAAACUCAAAGGAAUUGACGGGG
rnacentral:rRNA from 1 species